rnacentral:tRNA from 3 species
GGGCGAUUAGCUCAGCUGGAAGAGCGUCUCUCUUACACAGAGAAGGUCAGAGGUUCGAAUCCUCUAUCGCCCACCA